AUUGAACGCUGGCGGCAUGCCUUACACAUGCAAGUCGAACGGCAGCACGGGAUCAAUCCUGGUGGCGAGUGGCGAACGGGUGAGUAAAGUAUCGGAACGUGCCCAGUCGUGGGGGAUAACGUAGCGAAAGUUACGCUAAUACCGCAUACGAUCUAUGGAUGAAAGCGGGGGAUCGCAAGACCUCGCGCGAUUGGAGCGGCCGAUAUCAGAUUAGGUAGUUGGUGGGGUAAAGGCUCACCAAGCCGACGAUCUCUAGCUGGUCUGAGAGGACGACCAGCCACACUGGGACUGAGACACGGGCCAGGCUCCUACGGGAGGCAGCAGUGGGGAAUUUUGGACAAUGGGCGAAAGCCUGAUCCAGCCAUGCCGCGUGCAGGAUGAAGGCCUUCGGGUUGUAAACUGCUUUUGUACGGAACGAAAAGGUUUGGGCUAAUAAGCUGAGCUCAUGACGGUACCGUAAGAAUAAGCACCGGCUAACUACGUGCCAGCCGCCGCCGUAA
rnacentral:rRNA from 1 species